rnacentral:rRNA from 1 species
GACGUAGGGCGCGAGCGUUGUCCGGAUUUAUUGGGCGUAAAGAGCUCGUAGGCGGCUCGUUGCGUCGGCUGUGAAAACCCGCGGCUCAACUGUGGGCGGGCAGCUGAUACGGGCAGGCUGGAGUUCGGUAGGGGAGACUGGAAUUCCUGGUGUAGCGGUGAAAUGCGCAGAUAUCAGGAGGAACACCGGUGGCGAAGGCGGGUCUCUGGGCCGAUACUGACGCUGAGGAGCGAAAGCGUGGGGAGCGAACAGG